AUGCGACGAAGGAUCUUUGCGGUCAGACAUAGAAGCAGGCAACACCAGUGAGAUACGGUCUCUUGCGCUGCAUUACAUCACAUUCCACCCGAAGAACAAAGCAUUAUCGCUGCUCCAAGACAUCCAAAGAUUCAAGGUCUAAAGGAUGUAGUUUAGUUUGGUCAUGUAAUAUAUUUUGUAUACAAUGGUUCCCUAAACUCCAGAUCAGUCAUGUGUGUAUAUUAUGGCCAAAGUCCGUAGACGUUUCUUAGUUA